AAAUUGAAGAGUUUGAUCAUGGCUCAGAUUGAACGCUGGCGGCAGGCCUAACACAUGCAAGUCGAACGGUAGCACAGAGAGCUUGCUCUCGGGUGACGAGUGGCGGACGGGUGAGUAAUGUCUGGGAAACUGCCUGAUGGAGGGGGAUAACUACUGGAAACGGUGGCUAAUACCGCAUAACGUCGCAAGACCAAAGAGGGGGACCUUCGGGCCUCUUGCCAUCAGAUGUGCCCAGAUGGGAUUAGCUUGUUGGUGAGGUAACGGCUCACCAAGGCGACGAUCCCUAGCUGGUCUGAGAGGAUGACCAGCCACACUGGAACUGAGACACGGUCCAGACUCCUACGGGAGGCAGCAGUGGGGAAUAUUGCA
rnacentral:rRNA from 2 species